UUUUUGGACGUUUCACAGUUAGUGUUUUAUUUUGAAAGUAAUAACAGGAUUUGAUGUAUUUUCUACUGUGACCAACUUGACUGCUGUAGCUGGGUGGUCGAAGUUGGUCAUGUUGUCAGAAAGCAUAGACAGUUAAAAGGCAGCAUGAGACCCUUCUUUGCUCAGACCAUGCAAGCAUUGGAAUAUUUCAAGGCAGAGACAGUUUGACAGCUCACUCGAAGAAAAGAAACAUGUGGAGGACUCUAACACUUUCACUGAUAGUUGCACUGACAUUGGGCACAGAGGUGAAUUUUACCCAGGUGUCCCUGUCUGAGGAUGUCGGGCCUAUGGUGGCUGACGAGAAGACGGUGGAAAAUCAGCAGGAGAACUUCAGCGACAUCUCCAACGUGCUAGGAAAGUCUCGACACCAGAUCCUGGCUGCUCAAUUUGAGUGCUACCUGAAGAUAAUCCAUGAUCCACCACGUACAGAAGAAGGUGAUAAGGCUGUACCUAUUGUUUGGUUUUGACGUAAAAC